GACGAACGCUGGCGGCGUGCUUAACACAUGCAAGUCGAACGGAAAGGCCCUGCUUUUGUGGGGUGCUCGAGUGGCGAACGGGUGAGUAACACGUGAGUAACCUGCCCUUGACUUUGGGAUAACUUCAGGAAACUGGGGCUAAUACCGGAUAGGAGCUCCUGCUGCAUGGUGGGGGUUGGAAAGUUUCGGCGGUUGGGGAUGGACUCGCGGCUUAUCAGCUUGUUGGUGGGGUAGUGGCUUACCAAGGCUUUGACGGGUAGCCGGCCUGAGAGGGUGACCGGCCACAUUGGGACUGAGAGACGGCCCAGACUCCUACGGGAGGCAGCAGUGGGGAAUAUUGCACAAUGGGCGGAAGCCUGAUGCAGCAACGCCGCGUGCGGGAUGACGGCCUUCGGGUUGUAAACCGCUUCCGCCUGUGACGAAGCGUGAGUGACGGUAAUGGGUAAAGAAGCACCGGCUAACUACGUG
rnacentral:rRNA from 1 species